UACGUAGGUCCCGAGCGUUGUCCGGAUUUAUUGGGCGUAAAGCGAGCGCAGGUGGUUUAUUAAGUCUGGUGUAAAAGGCAGUGGCUCAACCAUUGUAUGCAUUGGAAACUGGUAGACUUGAGUGCAGGAGAGGAGAGUGGAAUUCCAUGUGUAGCGGUGAAAUGCGUAGAUAUAUGGAGGAACACCGGUGGCGAAAGCGGCUCUCUGGCCUGUAACUGACGCUGAUGUGCGAAAGCGUGGGGAUCAAACAGG
rnacentral:rRNA from 1 species